rnacentral:rRNA from 1 species
GAUGAACGCUGGCGGCGUGCCUAAUACAUGCAAGUCGAACGAGGUGCUUUUGUAGCAAUACGAGAGUAUCCUAGUGGCGAACGGGUGAGUAACGCGUGGAUGACCUGCCCCAAAGUGUGGGAUAACAGUCCGAAAGGAUUGCUAAUACCUCAUGUGGUUAUCGGUUUUAGAAAGCGAUAACUAAAGCAGCAAUGCGCUUUGGGAGGGAUCUGCGUCCCAUCAGCUAGUUGGUGAGGUAACGGCUCACCAAGGCGACGACGGGUAGGGGACCUGAGAGGGUGGCCCCCCACAAUGGAACUGAAACACGGUCCAUACACCUACGGGUGGCAGCAGUAGGGAAUAUUGCUCAAUGGGCGAAAGCCUGAAGCAGCAACGCCGCGUGUGCGAUGAAGGCC